UGUUUCAUUCCUAGUCCUUGUUUGAAUGUGGACUAUUGAAUAUAGGGCAACAUUUAAACAACCAAGAGAGACUAAAUUAAUUUAUAUUUAAAUCUAAUGACGGUCAGAUAGUCCACAGAAUGAGAGCCCAGGUUUGCAUGGGCUGUGUGAACCGCAGGUUUUCUGAGGAUGAGGGAAAUAUAGGAGAGACAUGAACUAUUUCUGUGAAGAUUCAGGGACAUUCAGGUGAAUAAAGGUGAUUGUAGGUCAUUUUUCUGUGAGUCAUAAGUUGCUAUUUUAUUGAGAGGCCCUUGGUAAAGCUGCAGUUAACAUUUAAGUUGCUGUUUGAUUCUUUUGUUCGUAUCAUACUGGUUUUCUUUUGAAUGUGAUAUUGUUUAGAGACAGGUUACAAGGUAGCCCAGUUUUAUUCAACUUAGAGGAAAGGCUGUCCUCCUAGGUUCUGAGUAUAGGUUAUCUGUUGGUCUAUGUUUAGGGUUCUUCUGAGUUCCUAUUUUGUUGUAUUGUCUUUAUCCAUCUUUUAAUGAAAACUAAAGAGAGGCUGUUUUCCAAAUGCGAUUUUAAAACACAAUUUUAAAGUGUUCUUCUCUAGCCUAGAUUUUUUUCUUGCGAUUUAAACCAUAAUCACAAAAAUCUCCAAAGUCCUUCGCAAACAAACAUUGUUUAUUCAUUUUCUAGUUACAGAACAAAAAUAUUAAUGCUACUUUAAAACACAGAUUUUGAUUUUUUUUCUCAAAGCAAAGCCUAUUUUGCAGAUACCCCAUCAUAAAUCACUGCUAUUUGUAAUAGUCACAUCCAUCAUUUGACCUUUCUACUGUAUAUAACAUGACAACAAAAAUCAUGCUCCAAAGAGAUAAUAUUCUUAUUAAAUUCUGUGUCCUAUUACAGUAUUUGGUUUUUAAAAUCAGUGAACUCUCACUUCAACAUUUUACUAAUAACAAGUGGCUAAUGCUUGAAAACAACAGAAAUGACCUUUUUCGGCCCCAUGUUAAUCCCUGUGUAAAGGACAAACAAGUGUUUUAGCAUAAACCAAUCCCAGAAUGUAACCAUGAUCUAAAAUAUACUAACAAUUAAACAAUAAUUCAGAGGCUUUGAUUUUAAGUACUCUGUGUAACAGAUUAAAAGAACGCCAUCCACGUAUUCCAGGAGAAAAACCAAUUAAGCCAACCAUAUAAUGAGCAAUGAUGCUCUCUCACAUCUGCCAGCAAAAACAAUCAACUUAGUCUAUCAUAGACUGGUAUGUUUCUACUCAGUAUUCUAUAUGGGUGACUUAAAUCAACAAACCAAGUGCACAGAACCAACACUUGGUUAUAUGGCUGUGAAGUAACAGCUUUAAGAACCAAAGGUCUUUCAAAUGGUUUAUGGCUGGUGCUUUAGAUCUUGGGUCAAAGUAAGAAGAAAGAAAAUUUAUAAUAUUUUUCACGCCAUAUUUUCUGGAUAUUUGUCCUCAUCUUGUGGUCCUAAUAUUACCUUUUAGUCAAUUUGAGAAAAUGUUAUAAACUUUUCAAAAAGUAAGUUGAGCUUAGGUGAUAGGCACUGAGUUCCACAUUUUCCUAAUAUUGGAUUUUUUCCCUGAAAAUUAAGACUGAAAGUAUCAUUGAUGUGUUAUCUGUUUUUCAUUUACUCCAACACUUAGAUAUUUACGCAAUCUUAGAACUAAUUUUAUUUAAAUCUUUAAAAUUAUUUCUGGAAGACCAUGUCAUCUCUGAGUGACUUUUUUUUGUUGCUUUGGAGGGAGGUAUCAGUACUCUAUUAAUAAUCCAAAUCAUGAUUCAUAAGGAAGAGUCAUUAUUGUAUCUUUAGGAACCAAAGAACAUGUAAAUUGGGGAUAUUUAUAUUUAGUCUUUCAGUUUCUCUGGGCCAAACAAAGAAAUGAGAAAUGAAACACGUAACAUUCAGUCAUACCCUUAAUACCUUUGUUCCUCAGGCUCCCCAGGACCUGAAGGAAAUAAAUGGAUUUCCAACAACUCCAAUGAGGCAAAUAAGAGCAAACUAAAAUUAGCAUUCAUUUAUUCAUACUCUCAACAAAUAUUGAGUGCCUUCUGUAUUCUCAGCACAAUUUUGAAAUAAUGCACAAAUGUGCAAUGUUAUAACUAGAUUUUCAUAUUAACUUUUCCACUUGGUGUAUGAUUUUCCUUCCGUUCAUAAAUCUAAGCCUAGUUUUCUGGGCCAAAUAACAAAAACCUAAGAGAUUUCAUGAGAAGUGUGCAUGUGUGUGUGUGUGUGUGUGUGAGUGUGUGCAUGUGUGCGUGUGUGUGUGUGUGUGUGUGUGUGUGUGUG
rnacentral:lncRNA from 1 species